rnacentral:rRNA from 1 species
UACGUGAGGGUCCGAGCGUUUGUCCGGAAUUAUUGGGCGUAAAGGGGCUCGUAGGCGGUCCGUCGCGUCGGGAGUGAAAACUCGGAGCUUAACUCCCGAGCCUGCUUCCGAUACGGGCAGACUAGAGGUAGGCAGGGGAGAGCGGAACUCCUGGUGUAGCGGUGGAAUGCGCAGAUAUCAGGAAGAACACCGGUGGCGAAGGCGGCUCUCUGGGCCUUACCUGACGCUGAGGAGCGAAAGCGUGGGUAGCGAACAGG